UACGUAGGGUGCGAGCGUUAAUCGGAAUUACUGGGCGUAAAGCGUGCGUAGGCGGUUCGUUAAGUCUGUUGUGAAAGCCCCGGGCUCAACCUGGGAAUGGCAAUGGAUACUGGCGAGCUAGAGUGUGUCAGAGGAUGGUGGAAUUCCCGGUGUAGCGGUGAAAUGCGUAGAGAUCGGGAGGAACAUCAGUGCGAAGGCGGCCAUCUCGGGACAACACUGACGCUGAGGCACGAAAGCGUGG
rnacentral:rRNA from 1 species